rnacentral:tRNA from 1 species
UCACGUGUGGCUCAGUUUGUAGAGCAUGGUGCUUGUAACGCUAGGGUUGGGAGUUUAAUUCCCACAGGGGAC